UGCCAGUAGUCAUAUGCUUGUCUUAAAGAUUAAGCCAUGCAUGUCUCAGUGCAAGCUAAAUUAAAGUGAAACCGCGGAAGGCUCAUUAUAUCAGCUAUGGUUCCUUAGAUGGUACCAAAGUAUACUUGGAUAACUGUGGCAAUUCUAGAGCUAAUACAUGCAAAUAGAGUCCCUGCCUCCCAAGGCAGGGAUGCUUUUAUUAGAUCAAAACCAACCGGCCUUCGGGCUAGUUGCUCUUGGUGACUCUGACUAACUUUGGGCUGAUCGCACGGUCACGUACCGGCGACGCAUCUUUCAAAUGUCUGCCUUAUCAACUAUCGAUGGUAGGCUCUACGCCUACCAUGGUUGUAACGGGUGACGGGGAAUCAGGGUUCGAUUCCGGAGAGGGAGCCUGAGAGACAGCUACCACAUCCAAGGAAGGCAGCAGGCGCGCAAAUUACCCACUCCCGGCACGGGGAGGUAGUGACGAUAAAUAACGAUGCAGAACUCUUUCCGAGGCUCUGCAAUCGGAAUGAGCACACUCUAAAUCAUUUAACGAGUAUCCAUCGGAGGGCAAGCCUGGUGCCAGCAGCUGCGGUAAUUCCAGCUCCGAUAGCGUAUAUUAAAGUUGUUGCGGUUAAAAAGCUCGUAGUUGGAUCUGUGUUUCACUCUGUCGGUUCGUUGCCCGUCAACGUUUAACUGGCAUGCAAGUGGAACGUCCUGCCGGUUGGCAACGCGCGUCCGCAAGGGCGUGCGUGCGCCAGUUGGAUCCUGUCUAGGUCCUCUUCACCGAGAGUCGAGGCAGGCCGGCACGUUUACUUUGAACAAAUUUGAGUGCUUAAAGCAGGCUGUUACGCCUGAAAACUGGUUGCAUGGAAUAAUGGAAUAGGACCUCGGUUCUACUUUGUUGGUUUUCGGAGCCCGAGGUAAUGAUUAAUAGGGACAGGCGGGGGCAUUAGUAUUGCGACGUUAGAGGUGAAAUUCUAAGAUCGUCGCAGGACUAACCUAAGCGAAAGCAUUUGCCAAGGAUGCUUCCUUUAAUCAAGAACGAAAGUUAGAUGAUCGAAGGCGAUCAGAUACCGCCCUAGUUCUAACCAUAAACGAUGCCAGCCAGCAAUCCGUCGCUGUUCCUCCGAUGACUCGACGGGCAGCUUCCGGGAAACUUAAGCUUUUAGGUUCCGGGGGAAGUAUGGUUGCAAAGCUGAAACUUAAAGGAAUUGACGGAAGGGCACCACCAGGAGUGGAGCCUGCGGCUUAAUUCGACUCAACACGGG
rnacentral:rRNA from 1 species